CGAGUCGACCGGGCGGUCGCGUCGGCGGGUGAAAGCCCGCCGCCGAGGAACGUCCGGACUCCACAGGGCAGGGCGGUUGUUAACGGCAACCCGGGGCGACCCGCGGGACAGUGCCACAGAAAACAAACCGCCGGCCGAUCCAGCCGAGCCAACAGGCUCGGCAGGUGACGCCAGGUAAGGGUGAAACGGUGGGGUAAGAGCCCACCAGCACCCCGGGUGACCGGGGUGGCUAGGUAAACCCCGCCCGGAGCAAGGCCAAGACAGGGCCAUCACCGCGAGGUGACGGCCCGCGCAGACGCUUGAGGGCUGCCCGCCCGAUGUCUGCGGGUAGGCCGCUAGAGCCUGCCGGCGACGGUAGGCCGAGAUGGAUGGCCGCCGCUGGUGACACCGGCAACGGUGCCACCGGGCACAGAAUCCGGCGUACAGGUCGACUCGUCCG
rnacentral:RNase_P_RNA from 1 species